UCUGGUGGCUUAGAUAGUAAAGAAUCUGCCUUCAGUGCAGGAGACCCAGGUUCAAUCCCUGGGUCAGAA
rnacentral:tRNA from 1 species